CUUUUGCUUUUCAAUAAAAGGGACAGCUGUAGAUUGAUGCCAGUUCUUCCCCUUUCGUUCUGCCUCGAAUGUCUGGAGCUGUAGCAGCCAUCGUGUCAGCGUGAGGAUGAAAGGCCAAAGAAAAGGCUGGCAAGAACAGAAGUACGGAAGAUCAUAAGCUCUUGUUGGCAACGUUGAGCUGCUGAGCUAACUGGAAUAAAUGCCUCCCUCUAGACUUCUUGAGAAAAAUACAUUCAUAUUGAUUUAAACGACUGCUAGUUGAGUUAUCUGUUGUAGCUGAAAGUAUUCCUGACUGAUAGAUUCUUCUUCCUCUUAGCAAGGAUGCGACUGGACUGCUGAUGAAGUGGUCAAUCUACAAGAUUAGAUAAUUCACAAAUAGACUUUUAAGUCUUCCAUAUCCCCUCUUGAAGCUGAAAUUUCCAUAAGAACAAACAACGCUGCCUUUCUCUGGGGCAGAGGGGAGCUUUCUAGGAGUCUAAGAAGAGGGGCUGGUGGUGUGAGCAGGAGAUACCUGUGACCCUCCAUCUUCAGAGCCCAAUCAGGGGGUCAGUGGAGAAUGGGGGAUCUCUGAGAGCACGGCUGAGAAUUAGAGGAAACGUUCGAACAGUCAGCGGCAUGGUGACCAGCCCUGAGGUCAUGACGGCCAUGCCUGACCAGAGAGGAGGUGCUGCUGGGCAAGUGGAUGAGAGACAGAAAAAGUAGAGAACAGAGUUGGUCCCUGGGACCAGGAGAACAGUGUUGGGGAAAUGACACCCAAAUGAGGCGACUCAGGGAGAAACGAGUUUUCCAAGUGAUGGCCUCAAGCACUGCUGUGUUCGAUGCCCAUCUUCUGGUCUGCAAAGUGUGGGAGACAGAGGAUUGAGGUUGGCUGUAAGAACCAGGGAUCAAAUGGACAAUGUGUAAUUUAAAAAUGUUUACCCUCUCUGCUUGCUGUGAGCCUCCACCCAUUUCUCGCUGAUCCACACAGCCAGUGAGCGCUGGGUUCCCACUCUGCAUGAAGGGC
rnacentral:lncRNA from 1 species